UACAGAGACUGCAAGCGUUAUUCGGAUUCACUGGGCGUAAAGGGUGCGCAGGCGGCCGGGUGUGUCAGAUGUGAAAUCCCGAGGCUUAACCUCGGAACUGCGUCUGAAACUACUCGGCUAGAGUAUUGGAGAGGGUAACGGAAUUCACGGUGUAGCAGUGAAAUGCGUAGAUAUCGUGAGGAACACCAGGGGCGAAGGCGAAUCUCUGGACAGUUACUGACACUGAGGCACGAAGGCCAGGGGAGCAAACAGG
rnacentral:rRNA from 1 species